rnacentral:rRNA from 1 species
AAAUUGAAGAGUUUGAUCAUGGCUCAGAUUGAACGCUGGCGGCAGGCCUAACACAUGCAAGUCGAACGGUAACAGGAAGCAGCUUGCUGCUUUGCUGACGAGUGGCGGACGGGUGAGUAAUGUCUGGGAAACUGCCUGAUGGAGGGGGAUAACUACUGGAAACGGUAGCUAAUACCGCAUAACGUCGCAAGAUCAAAGAGGGGGACCUUCGGGCCUCUUGCCAUCGGAUGUGCCCAGAUGGGAUUAGCUAGUAGGUGGGGUAAAGGCUCACCUAGGCGACGAUCCCUAGCUGGUCUGAGAGGAUGACCAGCCACACUGGAACUGAGACACGGUCCAGACUCCUACGGGAGGCAGCAGUGGGGAAUAUUGCACAAUGGGCGCAAGCCUGAUGCAGCCAUGCCGCGUGUAUGAAGAAGGCCUUCGGGUUGUAAAGUACUUUCAGCGGGGAGGAAGGGAGUAAAGUUAAUACCUUUGCUCAUUGACGUUACCCGCAGAAGAAGCACCGGCUAACUCCGUGCCAGCAGCCGCGGUAAUACGGAGGGUGCAAGCGUUAAUCGGAAUUACUGGGCGUAAAGCGCACGCAGGCGGUUUGUUAAGUCAGAUGUGAAAUCCCCGGGCUCAACCUGGGAACUGCAUCUGAUACUGGCAAGCUUGAGUCUCGUAGAGGGGGUAGAAUUCCAGGUGUAGCGGUGAAAUGCGUAGAGAUCUGGAGGAAUACCGGUGGCGAAGGCGGCCCCCUGGACGAAGACUGACGCUCAGGUGCGAAAGCGUGGGGAGCAAACAGGAUUAGAUACCCUGGUAGUCCACGCCGUAAACGAUGUCGACUUGGAGGUUGUGCCCUUGAGGCGUGGCUUCCGGAGCUAACGCGUUAAGUCGACCGCCUGGGGAGUACGGCCGCAAGGUUAAAACUCAAAUGAAUUGACGGGGGCCCGCACAAGCGGUGGAGCAUGUGGUUUAAUUCGAUGCAACGCGAAGAACCUUACCUGGUCUUGACAUCCACGGAAGUUUUCAGAGAUGAGAAUGUGCCUUCGGGAACCGUGAGACAGGUGCUGCAUGGCUGUCGUCAGCUCGUGUUGUGAAAUGUUGGGUUAAGUCCCGCAACGAGCGCAACCCUUAUCCUUUGUUGCCAGCGGUCCGGCCGGGAACUCAAAGGAGACUGCCAGUGAUAAACUGGAGGAAGGUGGGGAUGACGUCAAGUCAUCAUGGCCCUUACGACCAGGGCUACACACGUGCUACAAUGGCGCAUACAAAGAGAAGCGACCUCGCGAGAGCAAGCGGACCUCAUAAAGUGCGUCGUAGUCCGGAUUGGAGUCUGCAACUCGACUCCAUGAAGUCGGAAUCGCUAGUAAUCGUGGAUCAGAAUGCCACGGUGAAUACGUUCCCGGGCCUUGUACACACCGCCCGUCACACCAUGGGAGUGGGUUGCAAAAGAAGUAGGUAGCUUAACCUUCGGGAGGGCGCUUACCACUUUGUGAUUCAUGACUGGGGUGAAGUCGUAACAAGGUAACCGUAGGGGAACCUGCGGUUGGAUCACCUCCUUA